rnacentral:rRNA from 1 species
UACGGGGGGGCAAGCGGUUGUUCGGAAUUACUGGGCGUAAAGGGCUCGUAGGUGGCCAACUAAGUCAGACGUGAAAUCCCUCGGCUUAACCGGGGAACUGCGUCUGAUACUGGAUGGCUUGAGUUUGGGAGAGGGAUGCGGAAUUCCAGGUGUAGCGGUGAAAUGCGUAGGAUAAUCUGGAGGAACACCGGUGGCGAAGGCGGCAUCCUGGGACCAAUACUGACACUGAGGAGCGAAAGCCAGGGGAGCAAACGGG